GUAUAGUACCGUGAGGGAAAGGUGAAAAGAACCCCGGGAGGGGAGUGAAAUAGAACCUGAAACCCUGCACUUACAAGCUGUGGAAGCACAUUUCUUGUGUGACCGCGUACUUUUUGUAGAACGGGCCAACGAGUUACGUUAAGUAGCAAGGUUAAGCACUUAAGGUGCGGAGCCGUAGCGAAAGCGAGUUUUAACUGAGCGUUCAGUUACUUGACGUAGACCCGAAACCGGGCGACCUACCCAUGAGCAGGAUGAAGCGAAAGUAAAAUUUCGUGGAGGUCCGAACCCACGAGCGUUGAAAAGCUCGGGGAUGACUUGUGGGUAGCGGUGAAAUUCCAAUCGAGCCCGGAGAUAGCUGGUUCUCCCCGAAAUAGCUUUAGGGCUAGCCUCAAGGUGAGAGAUACGGAGGUAGAGCACUGAAUGUCCUAGGGGGUAUUGCACCUACCGAAGACUAUCAAACUCCGAAUGCCGUCAUCUUAUACUUGGGAGUCAGACUGUGGGUGAUAAGAUUCAUAGUCGAAAGGGCAACAGCCCAGAUCGUCAGCUAAGGUCCCUAAAUGUAAGUUAAGUGGUAAAGGAUGUGGGAUUGCACAGACAACCAGGAUGUUGGCUUAGAAGCAGCCACUCAUUCAAAGAGUGCGUAAUAGCUCACUGGUCGAGUGAUCCUGCGCCGAAGAUUUCCGGGGCUAAAACUUACUACCGAAGCUACGGCAUCAGUAAUGAUGGGUAGGGGAGCUUCCCAUACGGGUUGAAGCAUGACGGUAAGGACAUGUGGACAGUAUGGGAGUGAGAAUGUUGGCAUGAGUAGCGAGAUGUGGGGGUGAAUCCCACAGGCCGUAAACCCAAGGUUUCCAGGGGAAGGUUCGUCCGCCCUGGGUUAGGCGGGACCUAAGCUGAGGCCGAAAGGCGUAGGUGAUGGACAACAGGUUGAUAUUCCUGUACUACCGAUAACCGUUUGAGAGAAGGGAUGACACAGUAGGAUAAGCUAAGCACACUGUUGGUUAUGUGUGCCCAAGCAUUGAGGCAGUCAAAGUAGGCAAAUCCGCUUUGAUAAUGCUGGGAUGUGAUGGGGAGCGAAAUUUAGUAGCGAAGUAGCUGAUUUCACACUGUCAAGAAA
rnacentral:rRNA from 1 species